CUCUAAGGCUAAAUACUCGUGAUCGACCGAUAGUGAACCAGUACCGUGAGGGAAAGGUGAAAAGAACCGUGAAUAACGGAGUGAAAUAGAUCCUGAAACCAUACGCUUACAAGCGGUCGGAGCCCAUAUGGGUGACGGCGUGCCUUUUGCAUAAUGAGCCUACGAGUUACUCCUCUCUAGCAAGGUUAAGGAUUUAAGGUCCGUAGCCGGAGCGAAAGCGAGUCUGAAUAGGGCGACAUAGUUAGAGGGAUGAGACCCGAAACCGAGUGAUCUAGCCAUGUGCAGG
rnacentral:rRNA from 1 species